UAAAAAGUGGUGUAGAGGUUGCACUAGAGGUUUUGAUCCUCUAAGGAUGGGUUCAACCCCCAUUUUUUUAG
rnacentral:tRNA from 1 species